rnacentral:RNase_MRP_RNA from 1 species
CACUACGGAGCUCCAAACAGGGUCUUUUAAUGACUCCUUACACACAUGCUCUGAGGAAGGUCCCUGGACCCGUGGCAGAAAGUGCCGUAGACAUAAUUGCUAUUAGCCUCGUGCCGUUCGCGAACAGGAAAGGAAGCCCCUCUGCUGAUCUUUUCGUGAUGGGUGCGAGAGUAUUGGUCAAAGUAUAAAGUUAUGUG